UACAGAGGGUGCAAGCGUUAAUCGGAAUUACUGGGCGUAAAGGGUGCGUAGGUGGUUUGUUAAGUCAGGUGUGAAAUCCCUGGGCUCAACCUGGGAACUGCAUUUGAUACUGGCAGACUCGAGUCUGGUAGAGGGUAGUGGAAUUCCGCAUGUAGCGGUGAAAUUCGUAGAUAUUCGGAGGAACACCAGUGGCGAAGGCGGCUCACUGGCUCGGUACUGACGCUGAGGUGCGAAAGCGUGGGGAGCAAACAGG
rnacentral:rRNA from 1 species